GACGAACGCUGGCGGCGUGCCUAAUACAUGCAAGUCGAACGCACGAAGUUGAAGAGCUUGCUCUUUAACCAAGUGAGUGGCGGACGGGUGAGUAACACGUGGGUAACCUGCCCAUUAGAGGGGGAUAACAUUCGGAAACGGAUGCUAAUACCGCAUAGUUUCAGGAAUCGCAUGAUUCUUGAAGGAAAGGUGGCUUCGGCUACCACUAAUGGAUGGACCCGCGGCGUAUUAGCUAGUUGGUGAGGUAAUGGCUCACCAAGGCAAUGAUACGUAGCCGACCUGAGAGGGUGAUCGGCCACACUGGGACUGAGACACGGCCCAGACUCCUACGGGAGGCAGCAGUAGGGAAUCUUCCGCAAUGGACGAAAGUCUGACGGAGCAACGCCGCGUGAGUGAAGAAGGUUUUCGGAUCGUAAAACUCUGUUGUUAAAGAAGAACAAGGAUGAGAGUAACUGCUCAUCCCCUGACGGUAUUUAACCAGAAAGCCACGGCUAACUACGUGCCAGCAGCCGCGGUAAUACGUAGGUGGCAAGCGUUGUCCGGAUUUAUUGGGCGUAAAGCGAGCGCAGGCGGUUCUUUAAGUCUGGUGUGAAAGCCCCCGGCUCAACCGGGGAGGGUCAUUGGAAACUGGAGAACUUGAGUGCAGAAGAGGAGAGUGGAAUUCCACGUGUAGCGGUGAAAUGCGUAGAUAUGUGGAGGAACACCAGUGGCGAAGGCGACUCUCUGGUCUGUAACUGACGCUGAGGCUCGAAAGCGUGGGGAGCAAACAGG
rnacentral:rRNA from 1 species